rnacentral:misc_RNA from 1 species
GAUGAGAACGUAGCGAAAUGCGAUAAGUAAUGUGAAUUGCAGAGUUCAGUGAAUCAUCGAAUCUUUGAACGCACAUUGCGCCCGUUAGUAUUCUGACGGGCAUGCCUGUCCGAGCGUCAUUUCAACCCUCAAGCACGGCUUGGUGUUGGCGGAUUGCGUGCCCUAGCGGCGCUGCAUCCGCCCAAAUACAGUGGCGGUCCCGCUGCGGCUCCCUUUGCGUAGUAACUCACCUCGCACUGGACCGGGCGGCGGCUCGCCGUAAAACCCCAACUCACGAAAUGUUGACCUCGGAUCAGGUAGGAAUACCCGCUGAACUUAAGCAUAUCAAUAAGCGGAGGA